ensembl:lncRNA
CUCCCCACCCCCGCACAGAUGCUCACAUACAGUCAAGUCAACCCAGUUGGUAUUGACACCCAAGCCCUCCGAGUUCAAAGCAAGAGCCACCUCAGAGUUCCCACCAUCUAAAGAGGACCUUGGCUUUUUCCUUUGAAGUGUUUCCUUUGAAGGUCAAGGAAUGUUUUAUCAGGAUAAGGUGAGAACCAGGAGAACGAAGAAUGCACCAGGAUCUCAAGUGAAGAUCUCCUGGCCUGCUGCCUAUGAUAUAUCAUUACUGUUGUUACGAAAGAGCAAAAAUAUGCUUUGACUAUUUCCUUCAACCAUCAAACCUUCAGGGCAGGAGGAAAGACCCGGAUGAACUGCUCAGCAGAGAAAGGUAGAAUGUCCUGGAAAUGCAUUCCCAGGCCAAAGGAGACCCAGCAAAAAUAAAGCAGCCAAUUUCUCCCUCACAUCCCCUCCCCCAAACCUGCAAUCAGCAAUAAUUUUAGAGAA